CCUUUAAUUGUUAAUUGCAUGCUAUAUGAUGUUGCUCAAAUGAACAUGUUUUUCAAAAUAAUUCCUUCAAGCUUUCCUAUCUAAAAAUUGAGUAAAGAAUUAGUUGUUGGAGAGGAACUCAUGUGCUUAGGCAAAGAUGCUUCAUCAUGAAUCUUUUAAAUUUUAGAAUAUACAAAACACUCGAUGGUUUCAUGAUUGAUGAAGUACAGUACAAACAACUUCUUUACGGGAAACAGGAUCAAAACCUUAUCCAUUGUGCACUUUCCUAUCUAAAGAUUAGUAAAGAAUUAGUGAUUGGAUAGGAACUCAUGUGCUUCGACAAAGAUGUCUCAUCAUGAAUCUUUCAGUAAAUUUUAAAAGAUACAAAACACUCGGUGGUUUCAUGAUUGAUAUUUCCUCCUCUGUCCGUGGGUCCAACAUGUUUGGUUUGGUGGUGUUUUGAGUUAUAAAGUCAAU
rnacentral:lncRNA from 1 species